rnacentral:rRNA from 1 species
UACGAAGGGGGCUAGCGUUGCUCGGAAUUACUGGGCGUAAAGGGUGCGUAGGCGGGUCUUUAAGUCAGGGGUGAAAUCCUGGAGCUCAACUCCAGAACUGCCUUUGAUACUGAAGAUCUUGAGUUCGGGAGAGGUGAGUGGAACUGCGAGUGUAGAGGUGAAAUUCGUAGAUAUUCGCAAGAACACCAGUGGCGAAGGCGGCUCACUGGCCCGAUACUGACGCUGAGGCACGAAAGCUAGGGGAGCAAACAGG